AUUGCACGCUGGCGUCAGGCCUAACACAUGCAAGUCGAACGAGUGGCGGACGGGUGAGUAAUGUCUGGGAAACUGCCUGAUGGAGGGGGAUAACUACUGGAAACGGUAGCUAAUACCGCAUACCAUCGGAUCUGCCCAGAUGGGAUUAGCUAGUAGGGGGGGUAAAGGCUCACCUAGGCGACGAUCCCUAGCUGGUCUGAGAGGAUGCCCAGCCACACUGGAACUGAGACACGUUCCAGACUCCGACGGGAGGAAGCAGUGGGGAAUAUUGCACAAUGGGCGCAAGCCUGAUGCAGCCAUGCCGCGUGUAUGAAGAAGGCCUUCGGGUGGUAAAGUACUUUCAGCGGGGAGGCGUUACCCGCAGAAGAAGCACCGGCUAACUCCGUGCCAGCAGCCGCGGUAAUUC
rnacentral:rRNA from 1 species